GAUAAACGCUGGCGGCGUGCCUAGUACAUGCAAGUCGAGCGAACGGACGAGAAGCUUGCUUCUCUGAUGUUAGCGGCGGACGGGUGAGUAACACGUGGAUAACCUACCUAUAAGACUGGGAUAACUUCGGGAAACCGGAGCCAAUACCGGAUAAUAUUUUGAACCGCAUGGUUCAAAAGUGAAAGACGGUCUUGCUGUCACUUAUAGAUGGAUCCGCGCUGCAUUAGCUAGUUGGUAAGGUAACGGCUUACCAAGGCAACGAUGCAUAGCCGACCUGAGAGGGUGAUCGGCCACACUGGAACUGAGACACGGUCCAGACUCCUACGGGAGGCAGCAGUAGGGAAUCUUCCGCAAUGGGCGAAAGCCUGACGGAGCAACGCCGCGUGAGUGAUGAAGGUCUUCGGAUCGUAAAACUCUGUUAUUAGGGAAGAACGUAUGUGUAAGUAACUGUGCACAUCUUGACGGUACCUAAUCAGAAAGCCACGGCUAACUACGUGCCAGCAGCCGCGGUAAUACGUAGGUGGCAAGCGUUAUCCGGAAUUAUUGGGCGUAAAGCGCGCGUAGGCGGUUUUUUAAGUCUGAUGUGAAAGCCCACGGCUCAACCGUGGAGGGUCAUUGGAAACUGGAAAACUUGAGUGCAGAAGAGGAAAGUGGAAUUCCAUGUGUAGCGGUGAAAUGCGCAGAGAUAUGGAGGAACACCAGUGGCGAAGGCGACUUUCUGGUCUGUAACUGACGCUGAUGUGCGAAAGCGUGGGGAUCAAACAGGAUUAGAUACCCUGGUAGUCCACGCCGUAAACGAUGAGUGCUAAGUGUUAGGGGGUUUCCGCCCCUUAGUGCUGCAGCUAACGCAUUAAGCACUCCGCCUGGGGAGUACGACCGCAAGGUUGAAACUCAAAGGAAUUGACGGGGACCCGCACAAGCGGUGGAGCAUGUGGUUUAAUUCGAAGCAACGCGAAGAACCUUACCAAAUCUUGACAUCCUUUGACAACUCUAGAGAUAGAGCCUUCCCCUUCGGGGGACAAAGUGACAGGUGGUGCAUGGUUGUCGUCAGCUCGUGUCGUGAGAUGUUGGGUUAAGUCCCGCAACGAGCGCAACCCUUAAGCUUAGUUGCCAUCAUUAAGUUGGGCACUCUAAGUUGACUGCCGGUGACAAACCGGAGGAAGGUGGGGAUGACGUCAAAUCAUCAUGCCCCUUAUGAUUUGGGCUACACACGUGCUACAAUGGACAAUACAAAGGGCAGCGAAACCGCGAGGUCAAGCAAAUCCCAUAAAGUUGUUCUCAGUUCGGAUUGUAGUCUGCAACUCGACUACAUGAAGCUGGAAUCGCUAGUAAUCGUAGAUCAGCAUGCUACGGUGAAUACGUUCCCGGGUCU
rnacentral:rRNA from 1 species